rnacentral:rRNA from 2 species
AGACCCGAAACCCGGUGAUCUAGCCAUGGGCAGGUUGAAGGUUGGGUAACACUAACUGGAGGACCGAACCGACUAAUGUUGAAAAAUUAGCGGAUGACCUGUGGCUGGGGGUGAAAGGCCAAUCAAACCGGGAGAUAGCUGGUUCUCCCCGAAAGCUAUUUAGGUAGCGCCUCGUGAAUUCAUCUCCGGGGGUAGAGCACUGUUUCGGCUAGGGGGCCAUCCCGGCUUACCAACCCGAUGCAAACUGCGAAUACCGGAGAAUGUUAUCACGGGAGACACACGGCGGGUGCUAACGUCCGUCGUGAAGAGGGAAACAACCCAGACCGCCAGCUAAGGUCCCAAAGUCAUGGUUAAGUGGGAAACGAUGUGGGAAGGCCCAGACAGCCAGGAUGUUGGCUUAGAAGCAGCCAUCAUUUAAAGAAAGCGUAAUAGCUCACUGGUCGAGUCGGCCUGCGCGGAAGAUGUAACGGGGCUAAACCAUGCACCGAAGCUGCGGCAGCGACACUGUGUGUUGUUGGGUAGGGGAGCGUUCUGUAAGCCUGUGAAGGUGUGUCGUGAGGCAUGCUGGAGGUAUCAGAAGUGCGAAUG